GUGAAAUUGACAGUCAUCCGGGCCAACUGAAAGUGUCGAGCCAGUUUAUGAAACUGACUGCCAUAAGAGAUAUUUUAUUAUGUUUCGUUUGUGAGGAGCUGCUGCUGAAACUGAUCAGGUUAUCUGUCAUGGGCUUUUGCCAGAGGAUGAAAACGCUUACUUUGCUGCAUUUUGGAAAACCUGUAGAAAGAGAUGGAAUAAUUGCAUUACAAUCAGUCACAGCAGUGCAUCCAGAGUAAUGGCACUGGUUCUGGACCAGCAUGUAAGUGCCAUUACAACGAAGGCAUGACAGUGCCUCUACUUUCUUAGAAGUUUCCGCAGAUGUGGCAAGACAUCUGAAACUUUGACAAACUUCUAUAGAUGUACAUUGGAGAAUUUCCUCAUUGGUUGUAUCACGGCAUUGUAUGGAAACACCAAUGCCUAAGAACAGAAAAGCCUACAAAAAGUGGUGGAUGCGGUUCAGUCUAUUACAGAAAAAGCCCUCCCCAUCUACAAGGAGAAAGCAGUAUCCAUUAUCAAGCACCCUCAGCAUCCAGGCUAUGCUCUCUUCUUGCUGCUGCUACCGGGAAGGAGGCACAGGAGCUGCACCGCCAGGUUCAGGACAGUUCUUACCUUUCAAACAUCAGGCUCCUUCCUACACCUGCAUAGAUAGCUUCACCCCCCACAAUUCUGAAUUGAUUUCACAGGGGCUCACUUUCAAGGGCUCGACAACUCAUGUUUCACUAUUAUUCAUUUAGUUAUCUGUAUUGAUUUAUUUAUUCAUUUUAGUGUUUGCAUAUUGGUUGUUUGUCAUUGUGCGUAGUUUUUCAUUGAUUCUACAGUAUUUUUGUUCUAAUGUGAAUACCUGCAAGAAAAUGAAUCUCAGAGUGACACAUUUUUCUUUGAUAAUAAACGUGAAAUUUGAAUUUUAUUGAACUUUGAUUGUAAAUAAUUGGGAAUCCAAAACUUCUUCCAAAAUAUAAAAAAAGACCUGUUUGAAAGAUCUGUGAAUUGAAUUUCCACAGGUACAAUGAAAAAUGUACUUGCAGCAGCAUUACAGGCACAAAGUUCAAAAGAAAAACACAAAUUACACAAAAAUUGUACAAGGAACAACAUGAUUAGAACUAAAAAAAGAUGAUAUGAAUUUUUCCGGGAUACUUUGCUUUCUUUGCAUAUCCUAAAACAUUGCUGAUCGUGGGGUUAAUUAAGUUACUCAUCAUGUAAAGUAAGUGGUAGGAGAAUCAGAAGUAGUUGAUGUGGAAGAGAAAAGGGAAAGAAGUGGGAGAGUGAGGUUAAGGAAACUGUUUGGAAUAGACUAGAUGGAUCAAAUGGCCUCCUACACUAUAAGGAAAAAGAAACAUUUUGUCACACUAUUUGAAACAGAUGCUCAAAUCUGCUGAAUUUAAAUUCUGUUAAUUUGGAAUUGUAACAAUAAAAUAGUUCUAGUACUGAUGAUACUGCUAUAAAGCCCAUUUAGUUCACUAAUAUUCUGCCAUCCUUACAUAGUCAAUGCAUAAGGGUACAUCUCCAAUUAGAGUCUAAACAUGGAAAAAUAUUGAAGAGACAGGAUUGAAGGUUUUUCAUUGAUGCUGCAGAUAACCAGAUUGAUGAAUUAAUGGCAGAAACAGAAAUAAUUGGGUUUGGAAUAUAAGAAUUUAUUGAAAUAUGAUGGCAAAAUAGCCAAGUGUUGGGAACAAAAUGCCCAAUUUUUAUUAAGUAAUAGAUAAAGAAGAAAAUGAGAAUGGCUAGUCCUGAUAAGAAAAAAAAGUCAUGAAGACAUAUGAAUGAAAGGAUCAUAGCUCAGGAAAUCAAAUAGAAGAAUCAGUUUGGGUAGAGCUAAGAAAUAGCAAGUGACGGAAAAAACUAAUGGGAAUUGUCAAAAAGCCCCAAACAGAAGUGAAAGUAAGGAAUCAUGGACUUGGAUGUGCAUAAGAACAAGAGUAGGAAUAGGCCACUUAGGCUACAUCCACACUAGACCAGAUAAUUCUGAAAAUGCCGGUUUCGCGUAAAAACGACAGGCAUCCACACUAGGCGUUUUUAAAAAUACCUCUGUCCACAUUAAAACGGAUAUUUGGGCGAAUCUCACUGGGCAUGCACAGGACACACGGAAAACGAGCAAAGAGGAAACAGUAUACUUGGUGUGCGUUUGUCCAGUUACAGACUAGAAAAACUUAAAAGGAAAUUGCCAAACGAUAGACUUGCUGCAUGUUUGUUCAGUUACAGACUAGAAAAACUUAAAAGGAAAUUGCCAAACGAAAGACUUGGAGCGUGUUUGUCCAGAAACAUUUCCUACAGCCAUAGUCUCUUCACCGAUGAAAGGGACAACAGCUACAACUCAAUGCCAUAAGGCUCGUUACUGGGCAAAAGUGAAAUUUGCUGUUACCUCAUUUGUUUGCCUUUACUCUUGCCAUGUCUUUGUAUUAUUUUGCUGUAUUUAACAUGUGCAAUAAAACAAGUUACUGGGCAAAAGUGACAAUUGCAUCUAUUGAAUGUUUGCACAAGCAAUA